rnacentral:rRNA from 1 species
GGUAUUGGCCUACCGUGGCAUUGACGGGCAACGGAGAAUUGGGGUUCGGUCCCGGAGAGGGAGCCCGAGAAACGGCUACCACAUCUAAGGAAGGCAGCAGGCGCGCAAAUUACCCAAUUUUUAUUCAGGGAGGCAGUGACAAGAAAUAACAAAGCAGGCCCCUACGGGGCUUUGCUAUUGGAAUGAGUAGAAUUUAAAUCUCUUUACCACUAUCAAUUGGAGGGCAAGUUUGGUGCCAGCAGCCGCGGUAAUUCCAGUCUCAAUAGCGUAUAUUAAAGUUGUUGCGGUUAAAAA